ACGGUCCUAAGGUAGCGAAAUUCCUUGUCGGGUAAGUUCCGACCCGCACGAAAGGCGUAAUGAUUUGAGCACUGUCUCGACAAUGCAUCCGGUGAAAUUGAAGUACCAGUGAAGAUGCUGGUUACCCGCGCCAGGACGGAAAGACCCCAUGGAGCUUUACUCCAGUUUGAUACUGGGAUUCGGUACUGCAUGUACAGGAUAGGUGGGAGACGAAGAAGGAUGGACGCCAGUCUGUCCGGAGUCGCUGUUGGGAUACCACCCCUGUAGUACUGGGUUUCUAACCAGUUACCAUGAUCUGGUAAUGGGACAAUGUCAGGCGGGGAGUUUGACUGGGGCGGUCGCCUCCGAAAGGGUAUCGGAGGCGCUCAAAGGUUCCCUCAGAAUGGUUGGAAACCAUUUGAAGAGUGCAAAGGCAGAAGGGAGCUUGACUGCGACACCGACGGGUGGAGCAGGUACGAAAGUAGGACUUAGUGAUCCGGUGGUAUAAAGUGGGAUUGCCAUCGCUCAACGGAUAAAAGCUACCCUGGGGAUAACAGGCUUAUCACUCCCAAGAGUUCACAUCGACGGAGUGGUUUGGCACCUCGAUGUCGGCUCAUCGCAUCCUGGGGCUGUAGCAGGUCCCAAGGGUUGGGCUGUUCGCCCAUUAAAGCGGUACGCGAGCUGGGUUCAGAACGUCGUGAGACAGUUCGGUCCCUAUCCGGCGUGGGCGGAGGAUAUUUGAGAGGAGCUGUCCUUAGUACGAGAGGACCGGGAUGGACUGACCUCUGGUGCACCGGUUGGAUUGCCAAAUCCAUGGCCGGGUAGCCAAGUCGGGACGGGAUAAACGCUGAAGGCAUCUAAGCGUGAAGCCCCCCUCAAGAUGAGAUAUCCGAGCGUAAGCUGUAAGACCCCUUGAAGACUACGAGGUAGAUAGGUCAGAGAUGGAAGCGUGGUAACACGUGGAGUUGACUGAUACUAAUAGGUCGAGCGCUUGACCAA
rnacentral:rRNA from 1 species